AGUGCAGUUGCUGGAUCAUAUGGUAAGAGUAUAUUUUGUUUUGUAAGAAACUACCAGACUAUCUUCCAAAGUGGCUGCACCAUGUUGCAUUCCCACCAGCAGU
rnacentral:pre_miRNA from 1 species